GAUGAGCCCAGCGCAGAACUCCCGGGCCACCCGGCUGCGGCGGAAUGUUGCGUAAAGGGAAAGGUCGUAGUCAAACCCCACAGCCACGCGAACUCUAAGUAAGCCACGAAUAGGCUAUCCCAACUAACGGCGGGAAAAUCUCCACGGAGGGUGUAAGACCCGUGUGGGCGCGUGUCAAAGCUGUGCGGGCUCGGCCUCUUUUCCCUGAGAGUCGCGUUGCUUGAGCAUGCAGCGCUAAGCAGGUCGUAAACUCGAUCUAAGGCUAAAUAUAUCCACAGAACCGAUAGCGAACAAGUACCGUGAGGGAAAGUUGAAAAGCACUCUGGAGAGAGAGUCAAAAGACCGUGAAACCGCUUAGAGUAUAAGCCCAUGGCAGCUUGGAAGGCAUGUCGGUGGCGGGGCAUCUGGAAACUGCCCCUUCGCGGGGGGAGCGGAAGGGUGUUACCCUAUCUCUGUAAUGGCUCAUUAUGGUAGGGGGGUCAAGUCCACAUCCCGCCAACGGGUGGGGAGUACUGUGGUGUGUUGUUGUUCUGCUUCCGGCUUCGGUUGGUUGUGGGGCUCAGCGUGCCUGGUGCUUCUUGUCAACUCGGAUGUUCAGAGUCAGAGAUAGGACACGACAACCAGCCCACCACGGCACGUUGUGAGGUCACCCACAGGCUCGACUUUCGAUCGUGGUCCUUGACAAAGAGCAGCUCAGUGCGUGUCGCAAAAGUUCCUGACCUCUGUCUUGCAACAUAGAAGAGGAAUGCGGAAAGACACGCGCUCAUACGUCAGGACCGGGCGAUGACUGAGUUCUGGUACGAUCCUCUGCGACGAGUCGCUUUCUGGCCGAAAAUCUGAUUUGCCCAGUGCUCCUGCAUGUGCCGCAGGUAUGCUCGUGACGGUCUGGA
rnacentral:rRNA from 1 species